rnacentral:rRNA from 1 species
GACGAACGCUGGCGGCGUGCCUAAUACAUGCAAGUUGAGCGCUGAAGGUUGGUACUUGUACCGACUGGAUGAGCAGCGAACGGGUGAGUAACGCGUGGGGAAUCUGCCUUUGAGCGGGGGACAACAUUUGGAAACGAAUGCUAAUACCGCAUAAAAACUUUAAACACAAGUUUUAAGUUUGAAAGAUGCAAUUGCAUCACUCAAAGAUGAUCCCGCGUUGUAUUAGCUAGUUGGUGAGGUAAAGGCUCACCAAGGCGAUGAUACAUAGCCGACCUGAGAGGGUGGUCGGCCACAUUGGGACUGAGACACGGCCCAAACUCCUACGGGAGGCAGCAGUAGGGGAUCUUCGGCAAUGGACGAAAGUCUGACCGAGCAACGCCGCGUGAGUGAAGAAGGUUUUCGGAUCGUAAAACUCUGUUGGUAGAGAAGAACGUUGGUGAGAGUGGAAAGCUCAUCAAGUGACGGUAACUACACAGAAAGGGACGGCUAACUACGUG